GAUGAACGCUGGCGGCGUGCCUAAUACAUGCAAGUCGAGCGAACAGAUGAGGAGCUUGCUCCUCUGACGUUAGCGGCGGACGGGUGAGUAACACGUGGAUAACCUACCUAUAAGACUGGGAUAACUUCGGGAAACCGGAGCUAAUACCGGAUAAUAUAUUGAACCGCAUGGUUCAAUAGUGAAAGACGGUUUUGCUGUCACUUAUAGAUGGAUCUGCGCCGCAUUAGCUAGUUGGUAAGGUAACGGCUUACCAAGGCAACGAUGCGUAGCCGACCUGAGAGGGUGAUCGGCCACACUGGAACUGAGACACGGUCCAGACUCCUACGGGAGGCAGCAGUAGGGAAUCUUCCGCAAUGGGCGAAAGCCUGACGGAGCAACGCCGCGUGAGUGAUGAAGGUCUUCGGAUCGUAAAACUCUGUUAUUAGGGAAGAACAAAUGUGCAAGUAACUAUGCACGUCUUGACGGUACCUAAUCAGAAAGCCACGGCUAACUACGUG
rnacentral:rRNA from 1 species